CAGGCCUAACACAUGCAAGUCGAGCGGGCCCUUCGGGGUCAGCGGCGGACGGGUGAGUAACGCGUGGGAACGUGCCUUCUGGUUCGGAAUAACUCAGGGAAACUUGAGCUAAUACCGGAUACGCCCUUUUGGGGAAAGGUUUACUGCCGGAAGAUCGGCCCGCGUCUGAUUAGCUAGUUGGCGGGGUAACGGCCCACCAAGGCGACGAUCAGUAGCUGGUCUGAGAGGAUGAUCAGCCACACUGGGACUGAGACACGGCCCAGACUCCUACGGGAGGCAGCAGUGGGGAAUAUUGGACAAUGGGCGCAAGCCUGAUCCAGCCAUGCCGCGUGAGUGAUGAAGGCCUUAGGGUUGUAAAGCUCUUUUAUCCGGGACGAUAAUGACGGUACCGGAGGAAUAAGCCCCGGCUAACUUCGUGCCAGCAGCCGCGGUAAU
rnacentral:rRNA from 1 species